GGGGACAUAGCAUAAUCUGGUUAGUGUUGUCGGUUCCAGACCGAUAGAUCCAGGUUCAAAUCCUGGUGUCCCCACCA
rnacentral:tRNA from 1 species